rnacentral:misc_RNA from 1 species
GAUGAAGAACGCAGCGAAAUGCGAUAAGUAAUGUGAAUUGCAGAAUUCAGUGAAUCAUCGAAUCUUUGAACGCACCUUGCACUCCUUGGUAUUCCGAGGAGUACGCCUGUUCGAGUGUUAUGAAGCUCUCAAAACGCAAUUGGCUUAAAACCUGAUUGUUGUUUUGGAUUUGAACUUUGCCGUGUUAUAACGGCUGGUUUUAAAAGUAUUAGCUGGUACUAGAACGAAUUGGUUCUACUCAACGUGAUAAUUAUCUGAUCGUUAAGGACAUUCCUUUCACGAGGAAUGGCCAUAGUAAAUUCAAUGGACUGCUUCUAAUCUGGCUUUAAUUCUUUAUUGGAUUAACCACUUUUCAAAUCUGACCUCGAAUCAGGUGGGACUACCCGCUGAACUUAAGCAUAUCAAUAAGCGGAGGA